UACGAAGGGGGCUAGCGUUGCUCGGAAUCACUGGGCGUAAAGCGCACGUAGGCGGAUUGCUAAGUCAGGGGUGAAAUCCUGGAGCUCAACUCCAGAACUGCCUUUGAUACUGAGGAGCUCGAGUCCGGGAGAGGUGAGUGGAACUCCGAGUGUAGAGGUGAAAUUCGUAGAUAUUCGGAGGAACACCAGUGGCGAAGGCGGCUCACUGGUCCAUUACUGACGCUGAGGUGCGAAAGCGUGGGGAGCAAACAGG
rnacentral:rRNA from 1 species